GUUUUAUCAUGGAAAACCCACGUGUAUCUGGAAUAUGUAUUAUGUCUUUAGCAACGUCUUGUGGUAAAAAAGUACCCUACGGAACACAUUACUGAUGGCAACAGACAAACCUUUUGGGUGUCCACUGGUAUGUUUCAACAAGCUUUCAUCAUAAACUUCCCUGGCACAACGGGAAUAUCAGAUAAUCUCUUUGCAAAGCUACAAAGUUAAAGGUCUCAAAAUAGAGAGAUGUGUUUCAAAAGAAAUUGAGCCAUUUGAAGCAGUAGCAGAGCAAGAACUAGAGCACACAGAGGACCAUCUUCAGACCAAUAAUAUCUCACUCAACACAAGUGCAACACUUUUACGCUUCAUCAUUGCGUCAGGCUAUGACCAAUUUGUUUCAGUCAAUGACCUAACCGUCAGGCCUAGCAGUUAAAUAAUGUUAUAUGUGUGUUCCGGA